rnacentral:tRNA from 1 species
UAGCUCAGUGGUAGAGCACUUGCCUAGCAAGCACAAGACCCUGGGUUCGGUCCCCAG